rnacentral:rRNA from 2 species
AUCCGGGUUGCGGACAGUGUCUGGUGGGUAGUUUGACUGGGGCGGUCUCCUCCUAAAGAGUAACGGAGGAGCACGAAGGUUGGCUAAUCCUGGUCGGACAUCAGGAGGUUAGUGCAAUGGCAUAAGCCAGCUUGACUGCGAGCGUGACGGCGCGAGCAGGUGCGAAAGCAGGUCAUAGUGAUCCGGUGGUUCUGAAUGGAAGGGCCAUCGCUCAACGGAUAAAAGGUACUCCGGGGAUAACAGGCUGAUACCGCCCAAGAGUUCAUAUCGACGGCGGUGUUUGGCACCUCGAUGUCGGCUCAUCACAUCCUGGGGCUGAAGUAGGUCCCAAGGGUAUGGCUGUUCGCCAUUUAAAGUGGUACGCGAGCUGGGUUUAGAACGUCGUGAGACAGUUCGGUCCCUAUCUGCCGUGGGCGCUGGAGAACUGAGGGGGGCUGCUCCUAGUACGAGAGGACCGGAGUGGACGCAUCACUGGUGUUCGGGUUGUCAUGCCAAUGGCACUGCCCGGUAGCUAAAUGCGGAAGAGAUAAGUGCUGAAAGCAUCUAAGCACGAAACUUGCCCCGAGAUGAGUUCUCCCUGACUCCCUGAGAGUCCUGAAGGAACGUUGAAGACGACGACGUUGAUAGGCCGGGUGUGUAAGCGCAGCGAUGCGUUGAGCUAACCGGUACUAAUGAACCGUGAGGCUUAACCUUACAACGCCGAAG